AGAAACCAAGGGAACCUCUUCUAACAACCUGUGGCUCUCCAACUUCUCUACUUUAGGAACCUGUUCACCUGGAGUUUAGGAGUCACAGGUACCACUCUGGGUACAGAAAAGGAGGAGCAUCUUGCAAUUUGCACAUCACAUGAAUCUGCAUCUCCAUCUAUCUGAAAUCAUCAUAAGGAAAAAGAGGCGGAUCAGACCAACUAUAGCUUGGUCUGUGCUAUAGUUUGUGGCUCAGAGUUCAUCUUUUCUUAAUCCUCUUCAACUUUAUGUGAAUAGGAACUUUGAACCCUGUAGGAUGCUACUUGGUAUAUCUAGGAAAUAUAGCUAUUCAGGUUACAAUUUAUUUAAUUUGUGAGUGUGCGGGUUUGUGUUAUAAGCGCAUGUGUGUCUCUGAGUGUCAAAUAUUCCCGAGUCUUGAGAUGUAUACAUUCUAGAAGAAAAACACAUUCUUUUUAAAAUACUUUUACGGUCCUUCCUCAGCAUGAGAAGUAUCUCAUACUUGUAAGCCUUUUCGGGCCCAGCUGCACAUGCCUUUAAUACCAGUGCUAGUGAAUAGGAGACAACAGGAUAAAUAAUUCAAGGCCACCCUUUGCUACAUUGUGAGUUAGAGGUCAGCCAGGGCUACAUGAGAUUGUCUCAGACAGCCGAAAGAAGGGUAUGGGGAGAGUGCUUGCUGCAUGAACAUGGAGAGCUGAGUUUAAAUCUGCUGCAUCACAUGAAAUCUUAGGCGUGGCUGCACAGAGAUGAAACCCCCAGUCCUUUCAUGUGUAGACAGAAGGGCUUCUCAGGGUUGCUGGCUGUCAGCCUAAUUUCAAGUUCAAUGAGAGACGUUGUCUCAAGGGAAUACGGUAGAAAGUAAUAGAACGGGACAGUGGACACUUUCCUCUGGCUUCCACCUGUGUAUACAAGCGUGGACACUCACAUAUACAUACAUAUGCACUUAUAACACACACCCACAAAUUAAAUAAAUUACACCCUGAAUAGCUAUGUUUUUCUAUUAUUCAUUUAAUAAAUUAUAAAGAACAAUUACCUAUUGUUUUAAACUGUUAAUUAUAACUUUUAAAAUAUUCACAUAGCCACUUCUGAACAGCUAGACUGAGUAUAGCAUAGGGUUAACACAAGACCAAGGGCGUGUUUAAACAACCCAGUGAUGUUUAAAAAUCGGAGGGUAAAAAACACAUGUCUUUAAAUUUUCACCCUGCACCAAUAAGAGUCAAUAAUAUAAAAUGUACCCUGGAAGAUAAUGGACCCAUUGUGUGACCUGUUUCCAACCCCUGAUGAUACAGUUUAAAAAGAUGAACUUCUUCAUUUCAAGUAGGUCACAGGUUCUCUGAUGACAAGCUCCAGCACCUUAGUCACCACCGUAUCCAUGGCGCUUUCCCUUCCUGGGAAGUAUUGAGGGAUGAAUGGACCUCUGAAAUAUUCUUCAAUUACCUGUGUAAAUAUCAACAUAAGGCCCAGCCCUUUCCUAUUGAUUAGUCCAUUUCCUCAAAUAUCAAGUAGGGCAAAGGUUAUGCUAGUGAUGAUGAGUUACGCAAGCCCUUUUGGAGAUGCUGUGGUAAAGAGUUACUCAACAAACCCAGCAAGUAGAUCUGGAGUGAGUACAUCUAUCCUCGUGUGCAGAUCUGUGGGUAUAGACAGUGUGAGAUCAUUCUCAAGUUACCUGCUGUGCUCUCCAAAGGACACAGACUGAGACCCAUGUGCGUCACCGCUCUUUAAGAUGAACAGGCAGAAAGGGCCAUGUCCCUUUGGACCUCUAGAGUCCAGACUGUCAUCGUCUUGCAAGCCUCUUCACCUCCGCAGGACCAGGUUUGCUUGUCAAGACACAAGACCAAUCCUACCUUCAUGGAACAGUGAUGAAGCUGCCUUGUAAACUCCAAGGAUCUCUCUCCAAAGCUGAAGCACAUUAUGUCAUCUAUAAUGGUUUUCCAAUAAGCUUCAGGGAUCCUCCCGUUUCUACACCCCUCCCCCCAUAACAAAGAAAUCUCACAUCAGUGGUGGCACUCCAAACUCAUGACCUCAUGCUUGCACAGUGGAUACUUCAUCACCUGGGCCAUCCCCCCAGUCCUUGCAUUCUCACAUAUCAAAACAUGCAACAUCUUAAAGUUGCUCAGAGAGUAAUGCCUCUUACCUGACGGCCUGAAGUCAAAAGAAGAUGUGUCUUGCCAGUGAAAAGGAUGGACCCAUGGGAGGCAGCAGAGGAGGCAGAAAAGCGCCUGCAGUUUGAGUGGUACCAUCUUAGGAGCUGAGCAGUGGCUUCAGUUUGAUGUUCUUCAGAGCAGAUAAUUAAAAGAAAAGAAAUGCAAUGAACGUACUGAAGAGGACCUAAGUGCCCAGUGAUGUUUGUUAACAGUGAAACAUGUAUUGCUUAUUCAGAGAAAGCUGGCAGAAUCCUUGAUGCUAAUGGGUGGCAGAACAUGGGAAUAACAUUUCAAGACAGCUAAAUAUGAUUUUCUCUAUUUUUACAAGAGUCUUUUGGUUAUAAGGAAAACAUGGAGUCAUGAUAAUG
ensembl:antisense 1700071M16Rik RIKEN cDNA 1700071M16 gene